GGCCCGUUCUUCUAGCGGCUAGGAUGCGAGGUUCUCAACCUCACGACGCGGGUUCGAUUCCCGCACGGGUCG
rnacentral:tRNA from 1 species